rnacentral:rRNA from 1 species
AUUGAACGCUGGCGGCAGGCCUAACACAUGCAAGUCGAACGGUAGCACAGAGAGCUUGCUCUCGGGUGACGAGUGGCGGACGGGUGAGUAAUGUCUGGGAAACUGCCCGAUGGAGGGGGAUAACUACUGGAAACGGUAGCUAAUACCGCAUAACGUCGCAAGACCAAAGUGGGGGACCUUCGGGCCUCACACCAUCGGAUGUGCCCAGAUGGGAUUAGCUAGUAGGUGGGGUAAUGGCUCACCUAGGCGACGAUCCCUAGCUGGUCUGAGAGGAUGACCAGCCACACUGGAACUGAGACACGGUCCAGACUCCUACGGGAGGCAGCAGUGGGGAAUAUUGCACAAUGGGCGCAAGCCUGAUGCAGCCAUGCCGCGUGUAUGAAGAAGGCCUUCGGGUUGUAAAGUACUUUCAGCGGGGAGGAAGGCGGUGAAGUUAAUAGCUUCACCGAUUGACGUUACCCGCAGAAGGAGCACCGGCUAACUCCGUGCCAGCAGCCGCAGUAA